UCGCGCCUUUCCCUCAUCCACACCAACCGGUCGCCCGAAUCUCGAGCGCCACCCAUGGCCUCCUCCGCCUUGUCCGGCACCCACCAUCGCCUCCUUCUCCCCUGUUUCCUGCGCCGCCUCCCCCGACCCCGCUCGCGCUCGUGCUCCCGCCUCCGCCUCGCCGCCUGCCACGCCGACACCCUCCUUUCCUCCUCCGGGGCCCAGGGGCCGCCCUCCCCCGCCGCGUGCUCGUCGGCAUCCUCCGCUGGCGGGUUCUCUGACUGGCUACUCACGAAUGGGCUGCCGCCGGGCAAGGUGGCCAUCCUGGAGCGCCCCGUCCCGUGCUCUCGCGGGGGCAAAGACCGGCCAUUACACUUCGUCGCUGCUGGGCAGGACCUCGAGGCGGGGGAUGUGGCGUUCGAGGUGCCCAUGUCGCUCGUUGUCACACUGGAGCGGGUUCUCGGCGACGAGUCGGUCGCUGAAUUGUUAACAACAAACAAAUUGUCUGAGCUGGCAUGCUUGGCAUUGUAUCUGAUGUAUGAGAAGAAGCAAGGAAGAGAUUCACUUUGGUACCCGUAUAUUAAAGAACUUGAUCGUCAGCGAGGCAGGGGGCAACUAGCUGUUGAAUCACCUCUUUUAUGGAUUGAAAGUGAACUGGAUUACCUGAAUGGCAGCCCCAUGAGGGAUGAAGUUGUUGUUAGAGAUGAGGGAAUAAGAAGAGAGUAUAAUGAGCUUGACACAUUGUGGUUCAUGGCAGGUUCAUUGUUUAAGCAAUACCCUUUUGAUGUACCUACUGAGGCGUUUCCGUUUGAGAUCUUCAAGCAGGCAUUUGUUGCAGUACAGUCUUGUGUGGUUCAUUUGCAGAAGGUUAGUUUAGCUCGAAGAUUUGCACUAGUUCCCUUGGGCCCACCACUGUUGACGUACAAGAGCAACUGCAAAGCAAUGCUGACUGCUGUUGAUGGUUCUGUUCGGUUGCUGGUCGAUCGGCCGUACAAAGCAGGAGAACCAAUAAUUGUUUGGUGUGGGCCUCAACCAAACUCCAGGUUGCUUCUCAAUUAUGGUUUUGUUGAUGAAGACAAUCCAUAUGAUCGCAUAGCAAUCGAGGUGGGAUUUCUAAAACUGUUUUACAGUCCUUAUUUGGUUGUUGUAACCAAGCCUAAAUUAUUAUCACAGGCAUCCCUAAACACUGAAGAUCCUCAAUACCAAGAGAAGAGAAUGGUCGCUCAAAGAAAUGGAAAGCUUGCUAUCCAAAAAUUCCAAGUCUGUGUAGGCAAAGAGAAGGAAACUAUUUCUGAAAUGCUGCCAUACUUGAGACUAGGAUACAUUUCAGAUCCAGAUGAAAUGCAAUGUAUACUUUCGUCAGAAGGUGAUACAUGUCCAGUUAGUCCAUGCUCAGAGCGAGCUGUACUUGACCAACUUGUUGUCUACCUGAAAUCAAGAUUGGCUGGUUAUCCGACUACUUUGGACGAGGAUGAAGCAAUGUUGGCCGAGGGCAGUUUGGAGCCAAAGAAAGAAGUUGCCACUAGACUUGUAAGGUUAGAGAAGAAAAUGCUGCAUGGCUGUCUUCAGGCUGCUAACGAGUUCAUAAGUGGCUUGCCUGAUCAUACCGUAUCACCUUGCCCUGCUCUAUAUGCUCCUGAAUUGAAAUAAGAGAAGCAAGUGUGCAGUGAGAUUCAAUUAUUGCUAGAUGGACAUAUCACUUCAGGGCACGUUCUCUGUUAAGUGCAUCAUUAGAAGGUAAAUUAGAUAAUUGAGCAUGAGUUUGAAAUACCUUCAAGUUUCAGGAUUUGAUCUGAUGUUAAUAUUUUUUACAUAUUCUUGCCAAAUGUAUGUCUAUGAUUUCUUGCCUAGAUUCCAAACCUCAAAUACUGAAAAACGAGUACUGGAACCCUGGCAGUUAAGGAAACCUGUUCGAGUGUAACAAGGAUAUUGUCGAUCUCCACUAGAUCUGCAAACAGUUUUAUUGCACACAAAUGUGCAUUGAUUUGCUUUUCCAGCAGUGUAGAUUCGUUCUGUGUGUUCAUUUUCAUGAUUGAGAGUUAGCAAUGGUAUCUUGGACAUGCUCACUUUUCAUUUUGUGCAUAGAAGAACAUGCACGAAAAUUGGCUUGGCUCAGCUAUUCUAUUGUAACGGCUGGUUUAGAAUUACCGAAUCUGUCGACCCAGAGCUGGUAAUUGCAUGACAGUAGUUAUGCUCUGAUGCUGCAUACCGCUAUUUGUAGUUUGAUUAUCUUCUCGAUGCUUUGCCAAAAAUUCGUUUC